UACGAAGGGGGCUAGCGUUGCUCGGAAUUACUGGGCGUAAAGCGUAUGCAGGCGGACUUUUAAGUCGGGGGUGAAAUCCCGAGGCUCAACCUCGGAACUGCCUUCGAUACUGGAAGUCUUGAGUCCGGGAGAGGUGAGUGGAACUCCGAGUGUAGAGGUGAAAUUCGUAGAUAUUCGGAAGAACACCAGUGGCGAAGGCGGCUCACUGGCCCGGUACUGACGCUGAGAUACGAAAGCGGUGGGGAGC
rnacentral:rRNA from 1 species